rnacentral:rRNA from 1 species
AAGACCUUGCGCUUUGGGAGCGGCCGAUGUCUGAUUAGCUAGUUGGUGGGGUAAAGGCCUACCAAGGCGACGAUCAGUAGUUGGUCUGAGAGGACGACCAGCCACACUGGGACUGAGACACGGCCCAGACUCCUACGGGAGGCAGCAGUGGGGAAUUUUGGACAAUGGGCGCAAGCCUGAUCCAGCAAUGCCGCGUGUGUGAAGAAGGCCUGCGGGUUGUAAAGCUCUUUCAGUCGAGAAGAAAAAGCUGCAGUGAAUAACUGUAGUUCAUGACGGUAUCGACAGAAGAAGCACCGGCUAACUACGUGCCAGCAGCCGCGGUAAUACGUAGGGUGCGAGCGUUAAUCGGAAUUACUGGGCGUAAAGGGUGCGCAGGCGGCUUUGUAAGUCAGAUGUGAAAUCCCCGGGCUUAACCUGGGAAUU